rnacentral:rRNA from 1 species
GCCUAACACAUGCAGUCGAACGGUAACAGGAAGCAGCUUGCUGCUUCGCUGACGAGUGGCGGACGGGUGAGUAAUGUCUGGGAAACUGCCUGAUGGAGGGGGAUAACUACUGGAAACGGUAGCUAAUACCGCAUAACGUCGCAAGACCAAAGAGGGGGACCUUCGGGCCUCUUGCCAUCGGAUGUGCCCAGAUGGGAUUAGCUAGUAGGUGGGGUAACGGCUCACCUAGGCGACGAUCCCUAGCUGGUCUGAGAGGAUGACCAGCCACACUGGAACUGAGACACGGUCCAGACUCCUACGGGAGGCAGCAGUGGGCAAUAUUGUACAAUGGGCGCAAGCCUGAUGCAGCCAUGCCGCGUGUAUGAAGAAGGCCUUCGGGUUGUAAAGUACUUUCAGCGGGGAGGAAGGCGAUAAGGUUAAUAACCUUGCCGAUUGACGUUACCCGCAGAAGAAGCACCGGCCUAACUCCGUGCCAGCA